rnacentral:lncRNA from 1 species
CACUGGAGGUCUUUUGCUUUGGAGUCUCAUGGAGACCACCUUUUUAUCAUAUUACUCAUUUGAAGAAGUAUAAGUUUCUAACUCUUUGCAUACUUGGAUUUCAUUUUGUUCGACAUCUACAAGGAGAUUCUAGGGUUAGAGUUUCGGUUUGACAGUUUUAAUCGUUCAAGCUUUCGAUUUGCAUAUCAAUUUUUUUUUUAAAUUCAUAUUCCACUAUGUGGUCAUAACCCAAUAGUGGUAUUAGAACCACCCUUAUUAGAUUCAAUCAAAUAAAUGCAAAAGUUGUAAUAUAGAUUUG